rnacentral:misc_RNA from 1 species
AAAUAUUAUCAAAUUUCAGUGUUGUGUUGAAAUUUGGAUCGUGUCAAAGAAGCUAUUACUAUUAUUGUGAUAUCUCUUUGGAAAUCAAUAGGUCUUCAAGUGGCUAUUCAUGGAACGUGAUGAAAAUUACUUCGUUCUUUUGUAGUUGGCUUGAAUAGUCCUCAAACUUGUAUGCCUUUGGCAUAUCUUAUA